UUCCACCGGAAGUGGGCGCGCAACUCCAUGGUGACGGCGCACGCCUUUCUCAAAUAUUUAGCUACCUAGCCAUUUAGCUAAUGCUAGCUGCCUCGAAAACACUAACUGUAUCUGCGCCAAAUAGAAAGGCAGUAGAAAAAAAAGUAUUUUAAUUUAACUGAUUAGCGAGUCGUUGGUUUUGCAUGAUCAUGAAUCGUACCCCGGAUGCAAGAUCAAGAGACACCCAGACCAAGCAGAUCCAGGAGAGCAUCACCCAUGUGGAGAAACAUUUUGGGGAGCUGUGCCAGAUUUUUGCGGCGUACGUGCGUAAAACAGCACGGUUGAGGGACAAGGCUGACCUGCUGGUCCGAGAGAUUGGCCACUACGCAGACAUGGAGACACCCAACCUGAAAAAUGGACUGAAGCAUUUUGCAGAUCAGCUUGCCACACUUCAGGACUACAGACAAGCCCAAGUGGAAAGACUUGAUGCCAAAGUGGUUGAGCCUCUGAAAGCUUAUGGUACUAUUGUGAAACUGAAAAGGGAGGACCUGAAACUUACCCAGAGUGCCAGAAACCGAGAAGCAAAGCAGAUACAGCAGCUGGAGAGAACGAGACAGAGGAACCCCUCUGACAGACAGAUCAUUUCACAGGUGGGCCUUCACAUUUGAAAUGAAUAUAUGCCGGUUGUGCAGAAUUACGGCAAAUUACAGAGCACUUGGUAGUGAGCUCAGCACUGGUCUAAUUUCCUGACAUGAACUCCACAGUACAUGAACAGACUGCAUGUGUGAACAGUUAGUUCUGCAUCGUGACUGUCAGUUGUGUCGUGACAGGCUGAGAGCGAGCUGCAGCGAGCCACGAUGGACGCCACACGCACGACUCGCCAGCUCGAGGAGACAAUAGACCUGUUUGAAAGGCAGAAGAUCCGAGAUAUAAAGAAAAUCUUCGGGGAGUUUGUGACUGUGGAGAUGGUGUUUCAUGCCAAAGCGUUGGAGGUGUACACUACUGCCUAUCAGCACAUCCAGAAUGUGGAUGAAGAAGCAGAUUUAGAGAUUUUCAGGAGCACCCUGCAUCCCCCUGACUAUCAGUCACGCAUCGAGAUCGUCCGUUCUAAUUCCAAAACAUCCUUAAAUCACACCAGCACAUCUGUGAGUAAAUCAGGGUCCUUGCAGUCAAGUACUACAAAAGGACAGAAGAAAGGGGUUGAAGACGAAGAAGAGGAGGAGGAAGGUGAUGACGACGAUGAUGACGACGAUGAUGAUGAUGAUGAUGAUGAUGAUUUGGAGGACGUUACAGAUGAUGACAAAUAACUAAACUGCUUAACGGCUUCUUGUGCCAUAGUAUUUUUUUAAACAGUGUUGUAACUAAUAUUUCUCUAUUGCACAGCCAUCUAAUGUGUUUUUAAUCAACCAGCAGUAAUUAUUAGCUCGAUUAUUAGUGCCUGUAAAGAUUCUUUUUUGUUUUGUUUUAUAUAAAGCAUGUACUGUAAAAUUUGACUCUUUUUUUUUUACUUUAGAUCAUUUGAAAUGAAAUGUUUUUGAUUCAACUUUUUUUUUGUUUGUUUGUUUUUUUUUUUGUUGUUUUUUUUGUGCCAACAGUGUUUAUUUCUGAGUGCAGUGUUAAAGUUUAAAAUUGGUAUGGUGAAUUAAUAUGUGACCAAAUAAACCACAAUUGUGUUAUUUCUAAA